rnacentral:rRNA from 1 species
AACGAACGCUGGCGGCAUGCCUAACACAUGCAAGUCGAACGGGAUCCGGACUUCGGUCCGGUGAGAGUGGCGGACGGGUGAGUAACACGUAGGAACCUGCCUUUUGGUUCGGGAUAACCGCGGGAAACUGCGGCUAAUACCGGAUGCUCCCGAGAGGGAAAAGAUUUAUCGCCAGAAGAGGGGCCCGCGUCCGAUUAGGUAGUUGGUGGGGUAAUGGCCUACCAAGCCGACGAUCGGUAGCUGGUCUGAGAGGAUGAUCAGCCACACUGGGACUGAGAUACGGCCCAGACUCCUACGGGAGGCAGCAGUGGGGAAUAUUGGACAAUGGGGGCAACCCUGAUCCAGCAAUGCCGCGUGAGUGAUGAAGGCCUUAGGGUUGUAAAGCUCUUUUGCCAGGGAAGAUGAUGACUGUACCUGGAGAAUAAGCCCCGGCUAACUUCGUGCCAGCAGCCGCGGUAAU